rnacentral:rRNA from 1 species
UACGAAGGGUGCAAGCGUUACUCGGAAUUACUGGGCGUAAAGCGUGCGUAGGUGGUUUGUUAAGUCUGAUGUGAAAGCCCUGGGCUCAACCUGGGAAUUGCAUUGGAUACUGGCAGGCUAGAGUGCGGUAGAGGGUAGUGGAAUUCCCGGUGUAGCAGUGAAAUGCGUAGAGAUCGGGAGGAACAUCCGUGGCGAAGGCGGCCAUCUGGAACGCAACUGACGCUGAGACGCGAAAGCGUGGGGAGCAAACAGG